rnacentral:rRNA from 1 species
AACGAACGCUGGCGGCGCGUCUUACGCAUGCAAGUCGAACGGCAAGAGAGGAGCUUGCUUCUCUCCUAGAGUGGCGGACUGGUGAGGAACACGUGGGUAAUCUACCCUUAAGAUGGGGAUAGCUGCUAGAAAUAGCAGGUAAUACCGAAUACACUCGGCAUAUCCCAAGAGGUGUUGAGGAAAGGAAGCUACGGCUUCGCUUGAGGAUGAGCUUGCGUCCCAUUAGCUAGUUGGUGAGGUAAAGGCCCACCAAGGCGACGAUGGGUAUCCGGCCUGAGAGGGUGAACGGACACAUUGGGACUGAGAUACGGCCCAAACUCCUACGGGAGGCAGCAGCUAAGAAUAUUCCGCAAUGGACGGAAGUCUGACGGAGCGACGCCGCGUGGAUGAAGAAGGCUGAAAAGUUGUAAAAUCCUUUUGUUGAUGAAGAAUAAGGGUGAGAGGGAAUGCUCAUCUGAUGACGGUAAUCGACGAAUAAGCCCCGGCUAAUUACGUG